AUUGAACGCUGGCGGCAUGCCUUACACAUGCAAGUCGAACGGCAGCACGGGAGCAAUCCUGGUGGCGAGUGGCGAACGGGUGAGUAAUAUAUCGGAACGUGCCCAGUCGUGGGGGAUAACGUAGCGAAAGCUACGCUAAUACCGCAUACGAUCUACGGAUGAAAGCGGGGGAUCGCAAGACCUCGCGCGAUUGGAGCGGACGAUAUCAGAUUAGUUAGUUGGUGAGGUAAAGGCUCACCAAGGCGACGAUCUGUAGCUGGUCUGAGAGGACGACCAGCCACACUGGAACUGAGACACGGUCCAGACUCCUACGGGAGGCAGCAGUGGGGAAUUUUGGACAAUGGGCGCAAGCCUGAUCCAGCAAUGCCGCGUGCAGGAUGAAGGCCUUCGGGUUGUAAACUGCUUUUGUACAGAACGAAACGGCUCUUUCUAAUACAAGGGGCUAAUGGCGGUACUGUAAGAAGAAGCACCGGCUAACUACGUGCCAGCCGCCGCAGUAA
rnacentral:rRNA from 1 species